rnacentral:lncRNA from 1 species
GGGCGCUGCCACGACCUUGGGAAGGAAGAGCGCGGCGCUCGCGCUCUCUUACUCCCUCUUUUCUUUCGCCUUUUCCUUUUUCUUUCCGAACUUCUCUGCCCCCGUGAGAUGACCCUGCCUGCUCUUCCCACCUUUCCUAGAAGAACUUAUCGUCUGCGCUCGAGUUCCUAAUCAGGUGGCAGCUGCUCUGCCCGCACUCCGGUCCCAUCCACCCACCGCCCGGGAUAAGGCCUUGGGGAAACGCGGCUUCUCGUCCGGGCUGCUCUGUGUGACCUUGAUAAUCAGCGAACCGCUUGACGAAUGUCGCGGGAAGAUGAGUUCUCAGUAAGUCAGGCCAGCCGCCCAAGGAGUCUAUUCCCCAUUUCGAGCACCGAGAGCAGCCUUCUGAGAAGAGGAGAGAGGCGUCUCCACCCUUGGCAUUGGACAGGACGGCCGGACAGCCGGACAGCCGAACCAGUGCUGGACACACAGGCCGGAGUUCACGUCUUCAUGAACGGAAAUAUAAUGCUCUUCCUAAUAGUCUUGGUUGAGCCACCCUGACCGCCCAGGCCAGAACUUCUCCAGAGGAAGCCUUGCUGAUGGAGGCAGGUCUCUCAAGGGCUCUGGUUCCAGGUCUGAUUCGAACAUCAUAAAUAUCAGAUUAAGUCCCGGCUGCAGAGCUUUGCCAAAUCACCUUCCUGCCAGAAAGCUUGGAAACAUGGCCCCGAGGAGAUAAGGAAACGCUUAGGACCCUCGGUUCAGAUUCCAGCCCCGCCACUGACAUGUGUGCCUUCUUCUCCAGGCUCUGGAUGUUGUUGUAGCUCUAGAGACCAGCUGCCUGGGUUCCAGUCCCAGCCCUACCACUUCCUAAUUGCGUGACUUUGUGUAAGUGAUUUAAUCUCUCUGGGCUUUGAGGUAUCUGUCUGUAAGACGGGGCCAAUAAGAGUGCCUACCUCGCAGGGUUGUUGUACGGAUUAAAAUACUUAAUAGAGCCAAAAUGCUUAGAAUGCUGCCUGACACUCAGUUGAGUGUUAGCUGUUAUAACUGGGUGAGGCCGUGAUGUUAGGAGGUGUGGCAGCCAUCUUGACACCAUGAGGGAGGACAUUGCUGACCAGUUAAAGAUGGCAAAGUGACAGAUGGAAAGAACCUGGAUCUUUGGUGUCACUGAGCUCCUGAAUUAACCAGCUGUGCAACCACCCUCUCUCUGAACUUCUUGUACUGUGAGAUAAUUAAAUUCCCUUUUUGUUUAAGCCAGUUGAGUUUACUUUACUUGCAGCUAAAGCAUCCUACCUGAUAUGCCUCCCUCCCCCAAGAUUUCUCCCCACUUAGAUAAACUGAUCCUUCUGUUGAUAGGAUGACCAAAC